rnacentral:tRNA from 1 species
GCGGAAGUAGUUCAGUGGUAGAACAUCACCUUGCCAAGGUGGGGGUCGCGGGUUCGAAUCCCAUCUUCCGCUCCA